GGAUAAGGAGCAUCCCUGGUUGCAAGCGUAGGGUUCUAACUAAGUUUGUAGGGUUCAGCGUGGGAGCUUGGCAGUGACACAGAGAGGUUGAGGGAGGGCUUCAGAGGUCGAGGGCUGGAGACAAACAGUGAAAAUAAAAGGGGUACAGGUUGGGAUAUAAGGUAGAGUACAGGACUAUUCAAACCCUGAACAGCAGCCCUAACAGUGCCCCCAUUUCCCUGAGACAGCUGCAGGCAGGAACCCUAAAGCAGCAGAGUGCCAGAACCCCUGAGAGCUGCAGGCAGUACCCCUGGUGCUAGGGCCAGCCAGGAAGAGAUAGUGGGUGCUAGGGCCUACUGCUGUCAUAUAAGCUGGGGUUUCCAUCCUUGGGGUACCCUGGGCUCCCUGACCCUCACUGACUGGAGAGUCUUCCUCCCCUCCUUGAGGUGGUGGUAAUUUGGCUGUGUCAGCCAAUACUGCUGUGAAGCAAGCCUCUGCCUCCCUGUGGGGUGAAGUCUGCUGCCCAUAAACCUGGGCAUUCUCUAGAGAAGGUAAGUGCUGGGUUUUCACAGAUGUGCCGCUAAGAUCCUGCAUUGAUAUUUGGUCUUCUAGAUUGUAGCUGACCAGGAGACGACAUCCUGGUGAUGGCAGGAACUUCCCGGAUAGCGCAACAGCCUUCCAGGGCGUCCUCGUGUGGAUCCUCCCCGCCGGGCAUCCGAGAGCUGAGUCGAAGGCUGCGAAUGGCACAGGGGCUGAAAGCGGGGUGCCGGCUUGGGACACGUGACCUGGGAUUUUUGAGUCAGCUUUGGGGAUGGGGAGGUCCAGGCUGUGGCCCCUUAGGCCCUAUGUAGGGAGAGCCUCACUUUUGUUCACAGUGCUGAGGUGUGCAGGACGGAGCAGUCCCGGGGCGUGUCGUGUCACUUGUCCAUUGUGCCUUCUGUGUCUUUUGUGCCCCUCGUGUCGUACGUGCUUUACCUUAUCCUUUCUGGGGGCUUACCAGAAGCCCUGGCGCCUCUCUUAGCAUCUCCGAUCUCUGGGCUCCUUGGCUCAGCAGCUCUCAGAGGCCUUGGAAUCGCGUCUCUCUUUUAAAAGCAUCCGAUCGGAUGUCUUUUAGAGGUCUUGUUCCGUGCUGUGUCGACAGCCGUGCGCCGCGAGGAUCCAUUGUUGCGGCUUAGGUCUUGAAGAAACGCAAAGAUAGGUAGAGGAUUGUGGCCAUAAGAUUCUCGGGCAUCCAUCUUGGCAGUCUUGGAGUUAAUCAUUCCAUCAGCAUCUUCUUCCUCCCGGGUUCUGCGAGCUUCAUCAGCUCAUUCUCACCCGGCUCAUCUCGUUCCGCGUUCUCUCGGUCCUUGUGGCCAUUCUUGUGGCCCAGAAUUUUGUCUCCCCGUUGUGUCCCCUCGUCUGUUGUCUUGUGUGUCACGGGUAUCUGGGUGUAGUUGUUCCGGAGCUGCUCUGUCCUGCUGCCCAGCCUGGGUGUAGGUGUAAAAGGCCAAGUCCCAGGCCCCUGUAAUUUGAAAUUUGUGAUGUAGGGUGUAGUUGGAGUCUAGAGGGUGUUCCUAGAUGGACACAAGAUGUCUGGAGCUGUGAAGUUACCCUGCAGCACUUUGACUUUUGUCUCAGCUUUCUUUCAGAUGCGGACGGAUGAAAUCGGUGGCAGAGCGCCCCAUCCAGGGUAAGGGGGUUCCCGCGAGAAGGAAGCAAAGCCAGCUAGCAGCAGUCAAGGCGAAGCGGGCAAGGCGGUCCAGUCACGUUUCGUCGAGACACCCUCGCCAACCGGCCGGCACAGCUGCUUCGCCUCUGCCGUGAGCCCUGCGGAAGCGUUACGGGACCGUGAGACGGAGCCUUUUCCACGUAAAGGGGCCGUGUGGGUGGCCUUCAGGAACGGGCCGAGGGGUUGCCGCGCACCCUGCGACGACGGCGUCUGGCUCCCGGUGUGGCCUCGGGACGUGGCCGUUCGCAGGAGACCCUGACCGAGAGACCGCAGCCUGGCGAUGGCAGGAACUUCCCAGAUGGCGAGGCGGCCUUCCUUGGUGCUCCAUGUGGAUCCACCCUGCCGGGCAUCCGAGAGCUGAGUCGAAGGCUGCGAAUUGCAGAGGGGAUGGAAGCGGGGUGCAGGGUCCGGGACUCGAGACCCGGGAUUUUUGAGUCAGCUUUGGGGACGGGGAGGUCCAGGCUGUGGCCCCUUAGGCCACACGGUGGGAGAGUUUCACUUUUGUUCACAGUGCUGAGGUGUGCAGGACAGAGCAGUCCCGGGGCGUGUCGUGUCACUUGUCCAUUGUGCCUUCUGUGUCUUUUGUGCCCCUCGUGUCGUACGUGCCUUGCCUUAUCCUUUCUGGGGGCUUACCAGAAGCCCUGGCGCCUCUCUUAGCAUCUCCGAUCUCUGGGCUCCUUGGCUCAGCAGCUCUCAGAGGCCUUGGAAUCGCGUCUCUCUUGAAAAGCAUCCGAUCGGAUGUCUUUUAGAGGUCUUGUUCCGUGCUGUGUUGACAGCCGUGCGCCGCGAGGAUCCAUUGUUGCGGCUUAGGACUUGAAGAAACGCAAAGAUAGGUAGAGGAUUGUCGCCAUAAGAUUCUCGGGCAUCCAUCUUGGCAGUCUUGGAGUUAAUCAUUCCAUCAGCAUCUUCUUCCUCCCGGGUUCUGCGAGCUUCAUCAGCUCAUUCUCACCCGGCUCAUCUCGUUCCGCGUUCUCUCGGUCCUUGUGGCCAUUCUUGUGGCCCAGAGUUUUGUCUCCCCGUUGUGUCCCCUCGUCUGUUGUCUUGUGUGUCACGGGUGUCUGGGUGUAGUUGUCCCGGAGCUGCUCUGUCCUGCUGCCCAGCCUGGGUGUAGGUGUAAAAGGUCAAGUCCCAGGCCCCUGUAAUUUGAAAUUUGUGAUGUAGGGUGUAGUUGGAGUCUAGAGGGUGUUCCUAGAUGGACACAAGAUGUCUGGAGCUGUGAAGUUACUCUGCAGCACUUUGACUUUUGUCUCAGCUUUCUUUCAGAUACGGACAGAUGAAAUCGGUGGCAGAGCGCCCCAUCCAGGGUAAGGGGGUUCCCGCGAGAAGGUAAGUCAAUGUUUGUCUUUGCAGGGCAACUGGAACCGGUCACUGUGUUACAGGUCUCCUCUUUGUCUUUAUUUUUAGGAAGCAAAGCCGGCUAGCAGCAGUCAAGGCGAAGCGGGCAAGGCGGUCCAGUCACGUUUCGUCGAGACACCCUCGCCAACCGGCCGGCACAGCUGCUUCGCCUCUGCCGUGAGCCCUGCGGAAGUGUUACGGGACCGUGAGACGGAGCCUUUUCCACGUAAAGGGGCCGUGUGGGUGGCCUUCAGGAACGGGCCGAGGGGUUGCCGCACGCCCUGUGACGACGGCGUCUGGCUCCCGGUGUGGCCGAAGCGUGCGGCCUCAGGACGUGGCCGUGCGCAGGAGACCCUGACCGAGAGACCGCAGCCUGGCGAUGGCAGGAACUUCCCGGAUGGCGAGGCGGCCUUCCUUGGUGCUCCAUGUGGAUCCACCCUGCCGGGCAUCCGAGAGCUGAGUCGAAGGCUACGAAUUGCAGAGGGGAUGGCAGAGGGGUGCAGGGUCUGGGACUCGAGACCCGGGAUUUUUGAGUCAGCUUUGGGGACGGGGAGGUCCAGGCUGUGGCCCCUUAGGCCACACGGUGGGAGAGCUUCACUUUUGUUCACAGUGCUGAGGUGUGCAGGACAGAGCAGUCCCGGGGCGUGUCGUGUCACUUGUCCAUUGUGCCUUCUGUGUCUUUUGUGCCCCUCGUGUCGUACGUGCCUUGCCUUAUCCUUUCUGGGGGCUUACCAGAAGCCCUGGCGCCUCUCUUAGCAUCUCCGAUCUCUGGGCUCCUUGGCUCAGCAGCUCUCAGAGGCCUUGGAAUCACGUCUCUCUUUUAAAAGCAUCCGAUCGGAUGUCUUUUAGAGGUCUUGUUCCGUGCUGUGUCGACAGCCGUGCGCCGCGAGGAUCCAUUGUUGCGGCUUAGGUCUUGAAGAAACGCAAAGAUAGGUAGAGGAUUGUGGCCAUAAGAUUCUCGGGCAUCCAUCUUGGCAGUCUUGGAGUUUGUCAUUCCAUCAGCAUCUUCUUCCUCCCGGGUUCUGCGAGCUUCAUCAGCUCGCCUUCAUUCUCACCCGGCUCAUCUCGUUCCGCGUUCUCUCGGUCCUUGUGGCCGUUCUUGUGGCCCAGAAUUUUGUCUCCCCAUUGUGUCCCCUCGUCUGUUGUCUUGUGUGUCACGGGUGUCUGGGUGUGGUUGUCCCGGAGCUGCUCUGUCCUGCUGCCCAGCCUGGGUGUAGGUGUGAAGGGACAAGUCCCAGGCCCCUGUAAUUUGAAAUUUGUGAUGUAGGGUGUAGUUGGAGUCUAGAGGGUGUUCCUAGAUGGACACAAGAUGUCUGGAGCUGUGAAGUUACUCUGCAGCACUUUGACUUUUGUCUCAGCUUUCUUUCAGAUGCGGACGGGUGAAAUCGGUGGCAGAGCGCCCCAUCCAGGGUAAGGGGGUUCCCGCGAGAAGGAAGCAAAGCCGGCUAGCAGCAGUUAAGGCGAAGUGGGCAAGGCGGUCCAGUCGCGUUUCGUCGAGACACCCUCGCCAACCGGCCGGCACAGCUGUUUCGCCUCUGCCGUGAGCCCUGCGGAAGUGUUACGGGACCGUGAGACGGAGCCUUUUCCACGUAAAGGGGCCGUGUGGGUGGCCUUCAGGAACGGGCCGAGGGGUUGCCGUGCACCCUGCGACGAUGGCGUCCGGCUCCCGGUGUGGCCUCGGGACGUGGCUGUUCGCAGGAGACCCUGACCGAGAGACCGCAGCCUGGCGAUGGCAGGAACUUCCCGGAUGGCGAGGCGGCCUUCCUUGGUGCUCCAUGUGGAUCCACCCUGCCGGGCAUCCGAGAGCUGAGUCGAAGGCUGCGAAUUGCAGAGGGGAUGGAAGCGGGGUGCAGGGUCUGGGACUUGAGACCCGGGAUUUUUGAGUCAGCUUUGGGGACGGGGAGGUCCAGGCUGUGGCCCCUUAGGCCACACGGUGGGAGAGUUUCACUUUUGUUCACAGUGCUGAGGUGUGCAGGACAGAGCAGUCCCGGGGCGUGUCGUGUCACUUGUCCAUUGUGCCUUCUGUGUCUUUUGUGCCCCUCGUGUCGUACGUGCCUUGCCUUAUCCUUUCUGGGGGCUUACCAGAAGCCCUGGCGCCUCUCUUAGCAUCUCCGAUCUCUGGGCUCCUUGGCUCAGCAGCUCUCAGAGGCCUUGGAAUCGCGUCUCUCUUUUAAAAGCAUCCGAUCGGAUGUCUUUUAGAGGUCUUGUUCCGUGCUGUGUCGACAGCCGUGCGCCGCGAGGAUCCAUUGUUGCGGCUUAGGUCUUGAAGAAACGCAAAGAUAGGUAGAGGAUUGUGGCCAUAAGAUUCUCGGGCAUCCAUCUUGGCAGUCUUGGAGUUAAUCAUUCCAUCAGCAUCUUCUUCCUCCCGGGUUCUGCGAGCUUCAUCAGCUCAUUCUCACCCGGCUCAUCUCGUUCCGCGUUCUCUCGGUCCUUGCGGCCAUUCUUGUGGCCAAGAAUUUUGUCUCCCCAUUGUGUCCCCUCGUCUGUUGUCUUGUGUGUCACGGGUGUCUGGGUGUAGUUGUCCCGGAGCUGCUCUGUCCUGCUGCCCAGCCUGGGUGUAGGUGUGAAGGGACAAGUCCCAGGCCCCUGUUAUUUGAAAUUUGUGAUGUAGGGUGUAGUUGGAGUCUAGAGGGUGUUCCUAGAUGGACACAAGAUGUGUGGAGCUGUGAAGUUACUCUGCAGCACUUUGACUUUUGUCUCAGCUUUCUUUCAGAUGCGGACGGAUGAAAUCGGUGGCAGAGCGCCCCGUCCAGGGUAAGGGGGUUCCCGCGAGAAGGUAAGUCAAUGUUUGUCUUUGCGGGGCAACUGGAACCGGUCACUGUGUUACAGGUCUCCUCUUUGUCUUUAUUUUUAGGAAGCAAAGCCAGCUAGCAGCAGUCAAGGCGAAGCGGGCAAGGCGGUCCAGUCGCGUUUCGUCGAGACACCCUCGCCAACCGGCCGGCACAGCUGUUUCGCCUCUGCCGUGAGCCCUGCGGAAGCGUUACGGAACCGUGUGACGGAGCCUUUUCCAUGUAGAGGGGCCGUGUCGGUGGCCUUCAUGAACGGGCCAAGGGGUUGCCGCGCGCCCUGUGACGACGGCGUCCAGCUCCCGGUGUGGCCGAAGCGCACGGCCUCACGACGUGGCCGUUCGCAGGAGACCCUGACCAAGAGACGGCAGCCUGGCAAUGGCAGGAACUUCCCGGAUGGCGAGGCGGCCUUCCUUGGCGCUCCACGUGGAUCCUCCCCGCUGGGCAUCCAAGAGCUGAGUCGGAGGCUGCAAAUUGCAGAGGAGCUGAAAUCGGGGUGCCGGGUCGGGACUCUGGACCUGGGGUUAUGGAGUCAGCUUUGGGGACGGGGAGGUCCAGGCUGUGGCCCCUUAGGCCACGUGUAGGGAGAGCCUCACUUUUGUUCACAGUGCUGAGGUGUGCAGGACGGAGCAGCCCCAGGGCGUGUUGUAUCACUUGUCCAUUGUGCCUUCUGUGUCUUUUGUGCUUCUUGUGUUGUACGUGCCUUGCCUUAUCUCUUCUGGGGGCUUACCAGAAACCCCGGCGUCACUCCUCGCAUCUCUGAUCUCUGGGCUCCUCAGCCCGACACCAUCGAAGCUUUGCCUCAGGAGCUCUCAGAGGCCUUGGAAUCGCGUCUCUCUUUUAAAAGCAUCCGAUCGGAUGUCUUUUAGAGGUCUUGUUCCGUGCUGUGUCGACAGCCGUGCGCCGCGAGGAUCCAUUGUUGCGGCUUAGGUCUUGAAGAAACGCAGAGAUAGGUAGGGGGCUGUGGCCCUCAGAUUCUCGGGCAUCCGUCUUGGCAGUUGCUGGAGUUUGUCAUUCCAUCAGCAUCUUCUUCCUCCCGGGUUCUGCGAGCUUCAUCAGCUCAUUCUCACCCGGCUCAUCUCGUUCCGCGUUCUCUCGGUCCUUGUGGCCAUUCUUGUGGCCCAGAGUUUUGUCUCCCCGUUGUGUCCCCUCGUCUGUUGUCUUGUGUGUCACGGGUGUCUGGGUGUAGUUGUCCCGGAGCUGCUCUGUCCUGCUGCCCAGCCUGGGUGUAGGUGUAAAAGGCCAAGUCCCAGGCCCCUGUAAUUUGAAAUUUGUAAUGUAGGGUGAGUUGGAGUCUAGCGGGUGUUCCUAGAUGGACACAAGGUGGCUGGAGCUGUGAAGUUAUCCUUCAGCUCUUUGAGUUUUGUCUUAGCUUUCUAAGCAUUACAUUAUUCGCUGCCCGAUGUGGGGUUCAAAAGAGUAAGAAAAACCUAUACUAAUUACGUUAUAUUGGUACUUCCUGUGUGUUGGGAAAAAGGACUGUGGAAUAAAGGACUUUGUAAUGGUGUUCCUUAAGUUCAUGUCUCUCAGGGUGGAGGCCUUCAUGUAGUUCUAGUCUCUGAGCUUUUUUUGAGGUUUUAAUCUACUUGUCCAGAAAUGGAUUACUUGUAUUUAUUUCUAUUUUAUGGCUAUCUAUCUAUCUUCACUUGUUUAUUAUAGAUGUGUAUAUUUUCAUUUCUAUAUUAUUCAUUUAAAUGCCAUGCCUGUAAGUAAA